rnacentral:lncRNA from 1 species
CCCUAUUUUUUUCAUCAUUUUCACCCUAAUUUCUUCAAGCAUUGUAAUUAUAGUCUUAUGCCUUGCUGCUAAUAUCCAUGAAUUGAAACAUUCAGCCAUGUUAUUGUCUACAACAUCACAUUUUGAGGUAAAAUUGAAGUAAAGCUUGCUCCAUCUUUCAGGAUUAUAAUACAACAAAUGAUCAACUAUAUUAUUACCCAACCUUUUCAUAUAACUAAUGUUAUCCUUUAACUCAGCCUCAAAAGUAGACCUUGCACACCUCCAGAAACAUUUCUUUCUCUCAAGACCUCUCCAUCUCUUUGACCAGUUAGCAAGGAUGUGUCUAGCACACAUUCUAUGCUCAACAUUUGGCAAAUGAUCAGUUAUGGCAAUUUCAAGACCCUAUAAGAAAAUUCAAGACAUAA